UUUUCCUGAGUAGAGGAAUCGAUGACGUCUCUAAUCAAUAGUAAACUGCUUUGUUCCACAGCGCCAUUACGGUCAGUUCUUAACUACGUGACUCCAUGACGAAAUAUCGAGCCGGAGCAGAUCAAUACGUAUGCAGGAAGAAUUCAAGGCUGUUUUGGAACAUCUUUUGGUACUUGCACUAAGGCAUUUACGUAACUACACUUUGAAGAACCUGUUAGACAAUGACCGAAGAUUCAAUUGAG